rnacentral:tRNA from 1 species
GCGGAGUUGGCAGAUUGGCUAUGCACCCGCCUGCAGAGCGGGAGAGGGGGGUUCGAUUCCCUCACUCCGCUCCA